CCAGUUUGUCCAAGACAUUUGCAUUCAUUUCGCUCAAAUUUUAUGAUGUCAUCGUGAACCACUAAUCCUUUCUUUUGCUAAUCUAUAACUUGCAAAGCUAAUUCAGUAUAAAUGCUGAAUUUUUCAAAUCAGAUUUUACAAACACACAUAAAAAGUAUUGAGCAAGUAAGAUUUCCAUGAAAUAAACCAUAACAUGGUUAGGAAGAGCCAACUACUUCAAAUAAGAUAAUAACAGAAGAGUGACCAAGAUGACUUCUGGAUGAGAAUUUUUAUUUCUAUCCUCCCAAUUUUUGUUUGACAGACUUUCUGUUUUAUAGCAAGAUUUAUUGCAAAGAGUGAAAGAACAAAGCUUCCACACUGUGGAAGGUGACCCAAGCAGGUUGCCGCUGCUGUCCC
rnacentral:lncRNA from 1 species